AUUUAUUAGAUAAAGAACCAAUAUUUUUGGUGACUCAUAAUAACUUUACGGAUCACAUUAUGUGACAUAUCAUUCAAGUUUCUGACCUAUCAGCUUUAGACGGUAGGGUAUUGGCCUACCGUGGCUAUGACGGGUAACGGGGAAUUAGGGUUCGAUUCCGGAGAGGGAGCCUGAGAAACGGCUACCACAUCUAAGGAAGGCAGCAGGCGCGCAAAUUACCCAAUCCUAAUACAGGGAGGUAGUGACAAGAAAUAACAAUACAGAACCUUACGGUUUUGUAAUUGGAAUGAGUUAAGUAUAAACCCCUUAACAAGUAUCAAUUGGAGGGCAAGUCUGGUGCCAGCAGCCGCGGUAAUUCCAGCUCCAAUAGCGUAUAUUAAAGUUGUUGCAGUUAAAAAGCUCGUAGUUAAUCUUCUGUUAAUUUUUAUAUAUAAUAUUUCGAUAUUUAUAUAAUAUUAACAUAAUUCAUAUUACUUUUUAGUAUAUGAAACUUUACUUUGAGAAAAUUAGAGUGCUUAAAGCAGGCUAUUGCCUUGAAUACUCCAGCAUGGAAUAAUAUUAAGGAUUUUUAUUCUUCUUAUUGGUUCUAGAAUAAAAAUGAUGAUUAAUAGGAACAGUUGGGGGCAUUUGUAUUUAACAGUCAGAGGUGAAAUUCUUAGAUUUGUUAAAGACAAACUACUGCGAAAGCAUUUGCCAAGGAUGUUUUCAUUAAUCAAGAACGAAAGUUAGGGGAUCGAAGACGAUCAGAUACCGUCGUAGUCUUAACCAUAAACUAUGCCAACUAGAGAUUGGAGGUUGUUC
rnacentral:rRNA from 1 species